rnacentral:misc_RNA from 1 species
GGACACUGGGGUGAAAGUUGACCCCAUUCAAUGGUGGGAUGUAUGUCGAAGAGCUGAUUGGCCUGAAAGAGAGGAAUGUAUUCAUGGCAUUACUCUAGGUGGCCGUGAACCUACAGACAUAGUCAUGGAAGAUUCUCUUUCUGAAGAUGAUGAUAAAGGAGAAAAGGAUUUGGCUAAACUAUGUGAUCGGUCUCAUUGGUACCUUUCCAAUGCUGAGGUGCAGUUGAAGUCUGGGAGGAUACCUAUUUGGCAAAAGUCCAAGAUAUACUUCUGUACCAUGAGUCUUUCUGGAUAUGAAGAGCAGGAUAUCUCUAGAAGUUCUGCUGCUGGUGAGAUUGAGAUUGAGAAGAUUCCUGUCAAUGAGGUCGAAGUAAGGCGUAAAGACCUGCUGCCUGUGUUUGACCAUUUCCACAGGAUUCCAUCAAAGUGGUCAGAGGAUAGCUCUUCCAUUGGUAAAGAGAAGUCAGGGGACGGCACAACUGGUAUAUCCAGGGCAGACUCUCUCUCUGAGAAAAGCUUUCCUUCUGGUUCUUCACAAGUUGCCCGUAUACAUGAAGUUGGUAUGGGGCCAAUUUCGUAUCCAUGUAUUGAACUCUCUAUGGAAGAAAGUGAUGGGUCGAGAAGUUCUAGUUAUACUGCAGCCCCACAAGUGUGUAAAAACAUGCCUGCUGGUCUGGAAUCAUCCCCAAAUAUCUUGUGCUCCGUUGAGGAAAGCUAUGUGGUAAAUAGUCCAUCUCCUCCCAAAAUUGAAUCCUUCUCCACUGGAGGAACCAGUGCAAGGGAGGUUCAGUCCUCAAACAGUGUCAUUACCAGUGAAGCUUCAAACUCAAGUUCCAAUCGUUCCGACUUGAGUAUGAACAUAAUUGACGAACAAACUGUCAAUGAAGAUAUAUGCGACCCUGUAGAUUUUGGUCAAUUUUUUCAAGAAGGCUACUGUAAGGCUUCAACUACCAAUGAAUUGCAGGAGGUAACUGAACUGGUUGCUGAUAUGGAUAGCAGUAGUAGUCCUUGCAACAAAGAGAAAACUGAUGAUGAUGGGGAAAGUGAUGAUAUGCUGGGAGGUGUGUUUGACUUCUUCGAAGAAGGUUGAUGCCCGACUCUGAUUCCCGCGUCAUACCAGCCUAAUCUUAUUUCGAUGACAUUUAGUAUUGCUGGUAGUAGGAUAUUGGCCAAUUCAGUGGAACAUAUCGUAUAUGCCAUUGAAUAGAGCUGAACAUUUCAGAAGAAACCUACUGACUGAUAUGUGAAAUAUGACUUUAGUGUUUCCUUUUUGCCGGAGUGAAGAUGCCUGGUUUCUUCUGUCUGAUUCUCCUGUAUAUGGUGUAUAGUAAAAUUCAUGGUGCAAAUGAUUGGUG